rnacentral:rRNA from 1 species
UACAGAGGUCCCGAGCGUUGUUCGGAUUUAUUGGGCGUAAAGGGUGCGCAGGCGGUCGGGUAAGUCUGACGUGAAAUCUUCAAGCUCAACUUGGAAACUGCGUCGGAUACUAUUCGGCUAGAGGAAUGGAGGGGAGACUGGAAUUCUCGGUGUAGCAGUGAAAUGCGUAGAUAUCGAGAGGAACACCAGUGGCGAAGGCGAGUCUCUGGACAUUUCCUGACGCUGAGGCACGAAAGCCAGGGGAGCAAACGGG